rnacentral:rRNA from 1 species
UACAGAGGGGGCAAGCGUUGUUCGGAAUUACUGGGCGUAAAGGGCGCGUAGGUGGCCUUCUAAGUUGAACGUGAAAUCCCUGGGCUCAACCCAGGAACUGCGUCCAAGACUGGGAGGCUUGAAUCCGGGAGAGGGAUGCGGAAUUCCAGGUGUAGCGGUGAAAUGCGUAGAUAUCUGGAGGAACACCGGUGGCGAAGGCGGCAUCCUGGACCAACACUGACACUGAUGAGCGAAAGCCAGGGGAGCAAACGGG